CUGAUCGGAGUAAAAGACAGAAACAGAAGGGCAAUCUGAACAAACGCAGUAGAAUUCAGACAGGACAAAAGAAAUAUGGCUGUUCUGAAUGUGGUAAAAGAUUUGGACAAAAGACCAACCUGUACACACACAUGACAAUUCAUACAGGACAAAAACCAUUUGGCUGUUCUGAAUGUGGUCAGAGAUUUAGACAACAGAACCACUCAACAGACACAUGAUAAUUCAUACAGGACAAAAGCAAUUUGGCUGUUCUGAAUGUGGUCAAAAAUUUGGGCAAAAGAGCCACCUGACCACACACAUGACAAUUCAUACAGGACAAAAGCAAUUUGUCUGCUCUGAAUGUGGCCAAAGAUUUGGACAAAAGAGCCACCUGACCACACACAUGAUAAUUCAUACUGGACAAAAACCAUUUGGCUCUGUUCUGAAUGUGGUCAAAGAUUUGGACAGAAGAGCAACCUGAAUGCACACUUGAUAAUUCAUACAGGACAAAAACAAUUUGGAUGUUCUGAGUGUGGUAAAAGUUUUAGACAUAAGUGCAACCUGAACGCACACAUGAAAACUCAUAGGACAAAGAGAUCCCAGAAGG